CAGUGGCCAUCUGGGAGGCAAUGCUAUGGCAAGGCCACAUGGUGAGGGACUGGGCCUCAGGAGUGCCCACGCCGUCAGGCCCUGGGACAAGAGCACAGCCCCAGUCACUGUGUGAGCUGCCUGGAGCCGGAGGAGCCACAGGAGCUACACCUGCUCCUGCCCGCAGAAACUCAGGUUUGUGAAGCUGCAGAGCUUGGGCUAAAAACCUGGGAUUGAUGUGGGGAUCGUGCAUCAUUUUUCCAUGGGUCGAAGGGAACAAGUUAAAAGGAAGAUGCAAGCCAUCAGAAUGAACAAGCCAACAAGAGGACAGAGACUCCAGAAACCUGGGGAACUACAGAUUCUCGGGUCCAGCCUGGGGGUAGCCUAAAAGGAAAAUCACACAGAACUUACCUAAGAAAGUCCAGGUGAGUGGUGAAAACUCCUGCUCCCAUGAUUAAGUAGAAACUAGGAGAAAACAUUAAUAACACAAGUGACUGGCA